rnacentral:tRNA from 1 species
GGCGCUGGUAGAAUAUUUAUUUAAGUUCAUAGCUCUGAAGAAGCUAAAGAGGUCGAGUAGGCCUCAGUGCA